ACGAGUUAGGGUCCUCUAGGCCCGACCUCCCAACCCUUUGCUUACCGAAUCUCUGUUGCUUCGGCGGGCCCGUCUCACGACCGUCGGAGGACCGCCGCAGGGCGUGUCCUCUAGCCCGUGUCCGCCGAUAGCCAACUACAAAACUCUGUAUAAAUCAUGUCUCAUGUCUAAGUCAAAUUGAAUUAAAAGCA
rnacentral:misc_RNA from 1 species